AACGUAGGUCACAAGCGUUGUCCGGAAUUACUGGGUGUAAAGGGAGCGCGGGCGGGAAAACAAGUUGGAAGUGAAAUCCAUGGGCUCAACCCAUGAACUGCUUUCAAAACUGUUUUUCUUGAGUAGUGCAGAGGUAGGCGGAAUUCCCGGUGUAGCGGUGGAAUGCGUAGAUAUCGGGAGGAACACCAGUGGCGAAGGCGGCCUACUGGGCACCAACUGACGCUGAGGCUCGAAAGUGUGGGUAGCAAACAGG
rnacentral:rRNA from 1 species